rnacentral:tRNA from 1 species
CGGCUCGUAGCUCACCUGGCAGAACGCCGCUCGUGCAAAGCGGAGGCAGGGAGUUCGAAUGUCCCGGGUCCAA